CGAAAUCUCGAAAACACGGAAUACUAAAAGCUGAAAUCCCUAAAAACACGGGGCAGUAUGCCCCCACACAAGUGGACUUCGGCCAUCUAUUCCCGUCUAAUAAGUGAUGAUAAAUUAUUGUCAAAUUUUUUUUUUGCGUUUUUUUCCUUUUCUUAUUUCAAAUACAAGUAUAGUUAGCAUAAAUUUUAGGGCAAAUUUGGAUGCUCAGAAUGCAGGAAAUUGCAUUUCCGGGUAUCAAAUUUCAAAAAUUUUCUGGGAGACCAUGCCCGCAGACCCCCAUAUGGUUCAUGCGUGGUAUGUCGGCCACACGGCUAUCCCUUUUCAAAAAAUACCCCCCCCCCACCCCACCCCUCUCGAACAAAUAGUAUAUGUGUACUAUGCAAGCAAAGCGUUCGGGCAAACUAAUACUGUGCCUCCCCUCCAAACAAGAUUAGGCCCGUACGCCCAUGAAUUAAGUUUCUAACCGCAUUGUGUUAUAAUCGUUAUGUCAUGAAAAGAGAUGAAAUAAAUAUCAAAUCAUCACACUGAUUCAGUAGUUGUAUUAAGUCAAAACGAAUGAAACCAGGAAUGAAUGACCAAUAUAUACAUGUAAUUCAGAAAUAAAUAUUUACAUACUUUCAGUAUAGGCCGCAUGAAUAAUGAGAAUAUAUUUGCGGGUAUAAUCGGUAUAGGAAUUGUUGUGUAAGCACAUUUUACAAGCUUUAGCCGCAUGUUAUUUACGAAGGCGUUGGCCACAUAUUAAUCACGAUGGCUAAUUAAU